rnacentral:rRNA from 1 species
UACGUAGGGUCCGAGCGUUGUCCGGAAUUAUUGGGCGUAAAGAGCUCGUAGGCGGUUUGUUGCGUCGGCUGUGAAAUCCCGAGGCUCAACCUCGGGUCUGCAGUCGAUACGAGCAAACUAGAGUGUUGCAGGGGAGACUGGAAUUCCUGGUGUAGCGAUGAAAUGCGCAGAUAUCAGGAGGAACACCGGUGGCGAAGGCGCACAUCUGGCCCGAUACUGACGCUGAUAGCGCGAAAGCUAGGGGAGCAAACGGG